UGAUGUGAGGGAGAUCUGGCUGCGACAUCUGUCACCCCAUUGAUCACCAGAGUUGAUUUGGCUCAUCUGGCUGGCCAGGCGGGUGUCCCCGUCCUCCCUCACUGCUCCAUGUGUGUCCUUCCUGACACAGCGCUCUCUGUUGGAAUGGACAACCUUAACCUUCCCUGAUAGAGGAGGAGCGUUCCUUGUCAAAGCUAGUAAAGUAGGUGCGCCCUCCUGCUAGAACCUCCAAACAAGCUCUCAAGGCCCAUCUGUAGGAGAAGGUAGAGUAGUCAGGCUCCAACACUCCAGACACACCCAGAUGAGGUGCUGCAUGUGGCAGUCCGCCUUUCUUG
rnacentral:snRNA from 1 species